CGGCGGCGGCGGCUGGAGCUGCUGGAGCUGCUGGAGCUGCUGGAGCUGCUGGAGCUGGGAGUUCAGGGAUGAGCACUGAACGAUUUCUGCAGCAGGAAGACAGUCUGGCCAGAGAAUGAUCUAGAGAAAAUUACUGUGACAAGUUCACUUCCUUCUUUGCCCGAAUCUCAGUCUAAAAGCUUUCCAACAAGCCUACAAAUAAAUUUAAGGAUCGAUGUUGAA